UGGUUCUGGCAUNGAUGAAGAACGCAGCGAAAUGCGAUAAGUAAUGUGAAUUGCAGAAUUCAGUGAAUCAUCGAAUCUUUGAACGCACAUUGCGCCCGCCGGUAUUCCGGCGGGCAUGCCUGUCCGAGCGUCAUUUCAACCCUCAAGCCCCGGCUUGGUGUUGGGGCGCCCGGGUCCACCGGACCCGGGGCCCCCAAGCUGAUCGGCGGUCCCGCUGGAACCCUGAACGCAGUAACUCGCGGUAAAACGCAGCCUCGUUCGGCCAGUCCCGGCGCGCUCCUGCCGCUAAACCCCCCAAAUCUAAAGGUUGACCUCGGAUCAGGUAGGAAUACCCGCUGA
rnacentral:misc_RNA from 1 species